rnacentral:piRNA from 1 species
AGACUCUGGAGCAGAUGUCCUUUACGAGUA